CUGAAAUGAAGACCACGGUGUGGGACAACACCGACACAGAGGACUCGGCUGCAGAUGACCGGCUGCAGGGGUGCGUCUCCGGAAGGACCGACCCUGCCCACAGGCGGGUGAGGACCGUCACACCGCUGGUAACAACCUGGGCCUGCCUAUCCCAAUGGCCGUGCCUUCCUUUUUGGUGUUCCUUGCAAGAUACACCCUCUCAGAGUCGUCGAUUGUGCAAGAAAAUACUAGGCUAGAAUGCGCGGUAGUGUGUUUCUUGGGCAUCCUUCGCCAUCGUUCGGAGCCGUCGUCUUGGCCGGUGUGUGGGGACAUCCAAGUCUACACAUGAAGAGGAAGUGGUCCCAGAGUUGAGAUAAAAUCCUGCAUUAUGUGGGCUGCAUGAACCCAAUCUGACCGCUUGACAUUUCGAGUCUAAAGAAUCUUUCCAUUUCUCGGAUUCCGGCAGGAAUAGGAGAACAUCUUGGACGUUUCUAAAAUUCAGUGACCUCUUUACUUCAUUCCACUGGAAGGAAGAGUUAAAUUUCUGGACCUCAGUUUUCCAAGGCUUUCCAGAAUGGACAUGUGCCAUCAGCUCCCCCUGCAGGCCCGAGUCUUUCCUGCCAGGAAAUUCCUGGAGGUCCACCAGGAAAAUGGCUCUGGAGCGAAUCUAAAUCGUGUCUCACAGAUGGAACACUUCAACUGCUUAUAACUGACCCACCUUUCUUCUGGGAGAUGCACGUUCUGGGAAAACAUCUAGGUCUAAGCUCACUAGUACAUACUAUGCAUCGGGAAAACACAGAGCCAAACGGAAAUCCCAGGACCAGUUAGUGGGUUUCCUGCACAACAUAAAUUUUUUAAUACUCUAGUCUCUCUCUCCUUUGUAAGCACCAUGGUCUUUUGGUAGAUUCAUUACAGAUAAAAUUGCCCCUGUAAGAACCAUGUGCUAAGAAAUGACAUGAAAUUAUCAACAAUAGCCAAACAAUGGAGAGAGCUCAAAUAUCGAUCGAAUGUUGAAUGCAUAAAGAAGCUAUGUGUGUGUGUGUGUGUGUGUGUGUGUGUGUGUGUGUGUAUUCUAGCUCCAUCCGCAUCAUUGUGAAU
rnacentral:lncRNA from 1 species